rnacentral:rRNA from 1 species
AUGGCUGUCGUCAGCUCGUGUCGUGAGAUGUUGGGUUAAGUCCCGCAACGAGCGCAACCCACGUCUUUAGUUGCCAGCAUUYAGUUGGGCACUCUAGAGAGACCGCCGGUGAUAAACCGGAGGAAGGUGUGGAUGACGUCAAGUCAUCAUGCCCCUUACAUCCUGGGCUACACACGUACUACAAUGCUACGGACAAAGGGCAGCAAACUCGCGAGAGCUAGCAAAUCCCAUAAACCGUGGCUCAGUUCAGAUCGUAGGCUGCAACUCGCCUACGUGAAGGAGGAAUCGCUAGUAAUCGCAGGUCAGCAUACUGCGGUGAAUACGUUCCCGGGCCUUGUACRCACCGCCCGUCACACCAUGGAAGUUGGCCAUGCCCGAAGUCGUUACUCCAACCCGUAAGGGRGGAGGACGCCGAAGGUGGGGCUGAUGACUGGGGUGAAGUCGUAACAAGGUAGCCGUACCGGAAGGUGCGGCUGGAUCACCUCCUAAC